UGCAGAGCCUCCUUGGAACCCAACAAGGGAGGCCUGAGAUCUGGCCCUGGUGUUUGGCCUCAGGACCAUCCUCUGCCCUCAGCUUCCUCCACAGGGCAGGACCACAGCUCACAAGGAUCCCAAUGCCAUCUUCCUGAGCUUCCAACACCUGCUCCGAGGAAAGACUUCUGGAUUGUUGGAGACAAACUUCACUGCCUCAGCCAGAACUACUGGCUCUGGGCUUCUGAAGUGGCAGCAGGGAUUCA
rnacentral:lncRNA from 1 species